rnacentral:lncRNA from 13 species
GGUGUUAGAUUUUGGACCCUCCAGAAGAGGGGUUGGAUGUCAGACCCUCGGGAUUCCAGGGUCUGGACUCAUCUUCCAAGCCAUUGGUGCCAUGAUCUCCCUGCAGCAGCACCGCGGGGAAGGGAUGAGACAUCUCCUGGCGUUGUCCGGAGUGCAGGAAUGGAGGGGGAACGUGGCAAAGCAGAGCCUGAGUGGGAGAUGAGGCACCAUCCUCAGGGACACUCCCUGUACUGUAGAACAGGAGCUGGGGAGACUCCAACCCUUUGGGGUGCUGCCCUGCCCUCCCUUGAUUUUUCCCUCUUUUUUUGGGGGAUGUCCAUGUGGAAAGAGCUUUGUGGAAGCACCGAGCUGCCGGCCAGGGCACUUGGACUCAUUUUGUGCCUUCUCUGGGGGAGAGGAAAAAGGGAGAUGGGGAGUCCAGGGGGUGAUGGUGUCAUUUGGGGCACUCCAAUGUCUGUGGAGGGAGUGAGAGAUGAGGGGGGUCAGGUGGGGUUCCCCAAAACCAGGGAGAUUAUAGCCCAAAAAUGCCUGAAAAUUCUUAAGGGGUUUGUGUCUAAAAACUGCAAAGAUUCUCAUUUUCUAUGUGUUGAGAAAUAAUAAUAAUUCAUAUAUAAAUUGAUUUAAAAAUAAACCCCCGUAUCUGCUGUGUUAUAGGCAGGAUUUUAGGCUGCAAGAAAUGGAAUAUGGAUCUGUAGGUUUUGAAAAUACAAAUAAAACGUUUGUGUAUAUAAAUGAAACAACAAAGGGCUUGAAAAGGUAAGACAAUAUGAUCUGUGUGAAGGAAAUAGAAACAGCUCUGUGUGUUCGGAGUUUUACUGUCGCUGUAACACCCGAAAUCUGGGAUCUGGGAUGGGAUUGAAAUGGGGGUUUAUUGGCACCCCUCAAAACGCUGCGCAUGCGCGCUGGCCUCCACGCGCUCCGUGCUGCCGCCUUGUGGGCACACCCGGUACUGCAGCUCCGAGCGCCCUCGGCGCUUCCCAGGCUCCGCCGGCACCGGGACACGGAGCUGGACCGGGACCACGACCGGGACAGCGACCGGGACAGCGACCGGGACCGGCCGUGCGGGACCGGCUGCCGGGGCUGCUCCCGGCGCCUCUCCCGGCAGGAACGGCGGCCGCUGUGCCGGGAGCGGCAGUGGCGGAUGAGGAAGCCAGGCCUGCUGAGGAGGAAGAUGAGGAGGUGUGGGAGGAUGGAGACAGCGGCCACCAAAGGCUGGGGAAGGCACAGAUCCAGAACAGAAGAGUGAGGAGAUGGGGAUGCUCCCAGCCAUCACAGAGAUGUGGGAACAGCCCAGUUCCAGUGAGGAAUGUGCAAAGAACAUCCAGAACUGCCUCCUCACCCUCAUGGACAGCAGGAAUGCCUUCCAUAGCUCUUGUUUUUGAAUGGGAAUGGCUGUUGGGAGCUCUGGCAGGAGCACCUGGAGACCAGCAGUGGGAUUGCUUUGGCUGCUGCUGGAGGACAUGGGCUGUGACAAGGGAAUUGGCCCCAGAUGGAUCACAGCAGGACUAUGGAAAUUCCCUGCACUGGGAGGUUGUGGUGCUCUGGGUUAAAUUUUGGAUUCAUAAUGUUAAAGGUGGGGUGUGGAGGGGCUUCUCUCCUGUUCAUUAUUGUUGUUAUCAAUGUUCUUGCUCUCACUGUUACUAUGUGUUGUCAUUACUCUCAAAUGAUUGCAUUUGUCUUGGUUUCCAUUAUUAAACUGUUCUGAGCUGGAAUUUUGUCUCUGGUCUCUUCCCCAUCCCACGGGGGGUGAGGGAGCGGCUGCUGGUGCCCAGCUGGGGUCCAGCCAUGGCCCCGGGCACUUCUGGGGGCUCCGAACCCGAGGGACCGGAGCGGUUUUGGGCUCACAAAAAGAGACCCAGUGCUGCGUUUCGGGGGCUCAAAAGCAGGCGCAGAGCUUAAAAGCAGAGACUAAAUCCUGCAUUGUGGAGUCCUGAGAGCAGGCUGGUAUGGCCAGAGCUGGGACUCAGAAACAGUGACUAAAUCCUGUUCUCAGGGCUUGAGGAAGAGAGCGAGUCCUGUGUGUUCGGGCUCACAAAGAGAAACGGAAGUGCUGCGUU